AUCCAGCUGAAGAGUCCCAAAUAGGGUGGCACGCGCGUCGUGGGU
rfam:Schistosoma rodhaini strain Burundi genome assembly, scaffold: SROB_scaffold0001227